UAUUUUGACUAUACAAAGGUAUUGUAAUAAGAUUUUAAUUGAAUGCUAAAAGAAUGGAAUCUCAGGGAAAGACUUUUUUAAUUUUAAAAAUUAAAGUUAUUUUAAUUUGUGAAGAAACAAUUAUAAUAAUUAAGGACAAGAAGACCCUAAGAAUUUUAAAUUUUUUAUAUAAAAAUAUUUUUAUAUAAAAAAUUUGGUUGGGGCAACCAAAAAAUAUUUUUAACUUUUUUUUGAAAAAAUGACCCAUUAUUAAUGAUAAUAUGAUUAAAUACUCUAGGGAUAACAGCGUAAUAAUUUUAGAUAGAACAUAUAGACAAAAUAGUUUGCGACCUCGAUGUUGGAUUAGGAUACUUUUUUAAUGAAGAUGUUAAAAAAAGGAGUUUGUUCAACUUUUAAAUUCC
rnacentral:rRNA from 1 species